rnacentral:rRNA from 1 species
UGUAAGCGUAUACCAAAGUUGUUGCAGUUAAAACGCUCGUAGUCGGAAUUUGGCCGUUCCGGAUGUGUGCACGUCGUGUGCGCACUUCGCGGGGAUUGCUUUUGUGGUCUUGCGUAGGAUGAGGCACUUUUAUUAGUGAACGUCCUCACGCAACCACUUUUUACUGUGAGAAAAUCAGAGUGCUCAAAGCAGGCAUUUGCCGUGAAUGUAUUAGCAUGGAAUAAUAGAAUAGGACUUGGUUCUAUUUUGUUGGUUUGUUGGGACUGAGUAAUGAUUAAGAGGGACAGUUGGGGGCAUUUGUAUUUCGGUGCUAGAGGUGAAAUUCUUAGAUUACCGAAAGACAAACUGCUGCGAAAGCGUCUGCCAAGGAUGUUUUCAUUGA